rnacentral:rRNA from 1 species
UACGGAAGGCAGCAGUGGGGAAUAUUGCACAAUGGGCGAAAGCCUGAUGCAGCUAUGCCGCGUGUAUGAAGAAGGCCUUAGGGUUGUAAAGUACUUUCAUCGGGGAGGAAAAAACAAAACUAAUAAUUUUAUUUCUUGACGUUACCCGAAAAAGAAGCACCGGCUAACUCCGUGCCAGCAGCCGCGGUAAUACGGAGGGUGCUAGCGUUAAUCAGAAUUACUGGGCGUAAAGAGCACGUAGGUGGUUUUUUUAAGUCAGAUGUGAAAUCCCUGGGCUUAACCUAGGAACUGCAUUUUGAAACUGAAAUACUAGAGUAUCGUAGAGGGAGGUAGAAUUCUAGGUGUAGCGGUGAAAUGCGUAGAUAUCUGGAGGAAUACCUGUGGCGAAAGCGGCCUCCUAAACGAAUACUGACACUGAGGUGCGAAAGCGUGGGGAGCAAACGAGGAUUAGAUACCCGU